AGAGUUUGAUCCUGGCUCAGAUUGAACGCUGGCGGAAUGCUUUACACAUGCAAGUCGAACGGCAGCACGGGUGCUUGCACCUGGUGGCGAGUGGCGAACGGGUGAGUAAUGCGUCGGAACGUACCGAGUAAUGGGGGAUAACGCAGCGAAAGUUGUGCUAAUACCGCAUACGCCCUCCGGGGGAAAGCAGGGGAUCUUCGGACCUUGCGUUAUUCGAGCGGCCGACGUCUGAUUAGCUAGUUGGUGGGGUAAAGGCCUACCAAGGCGACGAUCAGUAGCGGGUCUGAGAGGAUGAUCCGCCACACUGGAACUGAGACACGGUCCAGACUCCUACGGGAGGCAGCAGUGGGGAAUUUUGGACAAUGGGGGCAACCCUGAUCCAGCCAUUCCGCGUGAGUGAAGAAGGCCUUCGGGUUGUAAAGCUCUUUCAGCAGGAACGAAACGGUACGCUCUAACAUAGUGUGCUAAUGACGGUACCUGCAGAAGAAGCACCGGCUAACUACGUGCCAGCAGCCGCGGUAAUACGUAGGGUGCGAGCGUUAAUCGGAAUUACUGGGCGUAAAGCGUGCGCAGGCGGAUUGUUAAGCAAGACGUGAAAUCCCCGGGCUUAACCUGGGAAUGGCGUUUUGAACUGGCAGUCUAGAGUGUGUCAGAGGGGGGUAGAAUUCCACGUGUAGCAGUGGAAUGCGUAGAGAUGUGGAGGAAUACCGAUGGCGAAGGCAGCCCCCUGGGAUAACACUGACGCUCAUGUACGAAAGCGUGGGUAGCAAACAGGAUUAGAUACCCUGGUAGUCC
rnacentral:rRNA from 1 species